rnacentral:rRNA from 1 species
UCCUCCCUCUUUCUUCGUGCUUAACACAUGCAAGUCGAACGGACAGGCCCUGCUUUUGUGGGGUGCUCGAGUGGCGAACGGGUGAGUAACACGUGAGUAACCUGCCCUUGACUUUGGGAUAACUUCAGGAAACUGGGGCUAAUACCGGAUAGGAGCUCCUGCUGCAUGGUGGGGGUUGGAAAGAUUCGGCGGUUGGGGAUGGACUCGCGGCUUAUCAGCUUGUUGGUGGGGUAGUGGCUUACCAAGGCUUUGACGGGUAGCCGGCCUGAGAGGGUGACCGGCCACAUUGGGCCUGAGAUACGGCCCAGACUCCUACGGGAGGCAGCAGUGGGGAAUAUUGCAGAGUGGGCGGAAGCCUGAUGCAACAACGCCGCGUGCGGGAUGACGGCCUUCGGGUUGUAAACCGCUUUCGCCUGUGACGAAGCGUGAGUGACGGUAAUGGGUAAAGAAGCAACGGCUAACUACGUG